UACGGAGGGUGCAAGCGUUAUCCGGAAUCACUGGGUUUAAAGGGUGCGUAGGCGGAAUAUUAAGUCAGUGGUGAAAUCCUGUCGCUUAACGAUAGAAUUGCCAUUGAUACUGAUAUUCUUGAAUUGGGUUGAGGUUAGCGGAAUGUGACAUGUAGCGGUGAAAUGCAUAGAUAUGUCAUGGAACACCAAUUGCGAAGGCAGCUAGCUGGGCCUUGAUUGACGCUGAGGCACGAAAGCGUGGGUAGCGAACAGGAUUAGAUACCCUGGUAGUCCACGCCCUAAACGAUGCUAACUCGAUGUUUGGUUGAAAGAUUGAGCAUCCAAGGGAAACCGAUAAGUUAGCCACCUGGGGAGUACGACCGCAAGGUUGAA
rnacentral:rRNA from 1 species